rnacentral:misc_RNA from 1 species
UGGUUCUGGCAUNGAUGAAGAACGCAGCGAAAUGCGAUAAGUAAUGUGAAUUGCAGAAUUCAGUGAAUCAUCGAAUCUUUGAACGCACAUUGCGCCCCUUGGUAUUCCGAGGGGCAUGCCUGUUCGAGCGUCAUUACAACCCUCAAGCUUAGCUUGGUAUUGGGCUCCGCCAUUUAUCUGGCGGGCCUUAAAAUCAGUGGCGGUGUCGUCGAGGCCCUGAGCGUAGUAAAUCUCCUCGCUAUAGGACCCGGCGGUUACUGGCCAUCAACACCAAUCUUUCUAGUUUGACCUCGGAUCAGGUAGGGAUACCCGCUGA